rnacentral:rRNA from 1 species
UACGGGGGGGGCAAGCGUUGUUCGGAAUUACUGGGCGUAAAGGGCUCGUAGGCGGCCAACUAAGUCAGACGUGAAAUCCCUCAGCUUAACUGGGGAACUGCGUCUGAUACUGGAUGGCUUGAGAUUGGGAGAGGGAUGCGGAAUUCCAGGUGUAGCGGUGAAAUGCGUAGAUAUCAGGAGGAACACCGGUGGCGAAGGCGGGAUCCUGGGCCAGUACUGACGCUGAGGAGCGAAAGCGUGGGGAGCAAACAGG